rnacentral:rRNA from 1 species
AGCUCCAAUCGCGUAUAUUAAAGUUUUUUCUUUUAAAAAUCUCGUAUUUUUUUCUCUUCAUCCUGGGGUCGGUUCGCUCCAAAGCGUGACUGCCCCAUUUGGCUGUGUGAUUGGCGGAGGUUCCGGGGUGCUCUUCGUUGAGUGUCCCGGUGCGCCGUCAGGUUUACUUUGAAAAAAUUAGAGUGCUCAAAGCAGGCUUUUCAGGCUUGAAUAUUCGUGCAUGGAAUAAUGGAAUAGGAACUCGUUCCUAUUUUGUUGGUUUUCGGGAAUCGAGUUAAUGAUUAAUAGGGACAAUUGGGGGCAUUAGUAUUCAAACGACAGAGGUGAAAUUCUUGGACCGUUUGAAGACUAACUACUGCGAAAGCAUUUGCCAAGAGUGUUUUCA